GUGGAACUGUGUCCCCACAAAAGGUCCCGCGACGGAGGCUGGCAUCACCGUGGGUGGACACACGAGAAUUAUGUGGCAAACGGCAGAAUAGAGGGAGAGGUGAAGUCAGGCCAUACUUGCAACCUACCACACCAGGUAAGCUACCACCCAUCCAACCUCCCCGUGAUGAGAAGCUAGCAAAAAAACUGGCAGAAAAUCCUGAUCUUAACUGAUCUUAAGCACGAAAGGGCUGCUGGAUCAUGAAAUUGAGUUUACCUGCAAUUGACUAGUUUAGGUUUUCUAACCAUUAGA
rnacentral:lncRNA from 1 species